AGAGUUUGAUCAUGGCUCAGAACGAACGCUGGCGGCAGGCCUAACACAUGCAAGUCGAACGGACCUUUCGGGGUUAGUGGCGGACGGGUGAGUAACGCGUGGGAACGUACCCUUUGGUUCGGAAUAGCCUCGGGAAACUGGGAGUAAUACCGGAUGUGCUCUUUUGGUGUAGUGCCAAGGGAGGAAAGAUUUAUUGCCAAAGGAUCGGCCCGCGUUGGAUUAGGUAGUUGGUGGGGUAAUGGCCUACCAAGCCGACGAUCCAUAGCUGGUUUGAGAGGAUGAUCAGCCACACUGGGACUGAGACACGGUCCAGACUCCUACGGGAGGCAGCAGUGGGGAAUAUUGGGCAAUGGGCGAAAGCCUGACCCAGCCAUGCCGCGUGAGUGAUGAAGGCCUUCGGGUCGUAAAGCUCUGUGGGGAGGGAAGAAAAUACCUUGGCUAAUAUCCAAGGGAACUGACGGUACCUCCUAGCAAGCACCCCUU
rnacentral:rRNA from 1 species